rfam:Cajanus cajan Scaffold126180_4, whole genome shotgun sequence.
AAGACAAGAGACAGUCAACCAGCCAAGGAUGUCUGCCAAUAAACCAAUCAAAGGGCUCCAUAGAGACAAAGUCCUAGGAAUGGCAAUAGCUAGGCAAGCCAUCCUUGGCUACCCGACAUGACUCUUCAUCU